rnacentral:misc_RNA from 1 species
AGUAUUGAGAUUAGAGAAAAUCAAGUCAUGGAGAUGAUAAGAGAUUGAAAAUUUAUCUAACUCCUUACUUCUUAUUCAUUUUAUUUGUCCAACUGUUUUGAGGGUUACAAAAGAAAAUAUGAAGAUGCUUGCUUCAAUUUUGCGUAAUUCACCAUUUUUGACAUGACCAAGAAACAAUGUGGUGUGUUGAUUCAAUACAGCUUUUGAUUCUUCAACACUUCAAAAUCUGAGGGCGAGUUUUAAGUGGGGGAGAAUGGUAUGCAAAUUGUUUGCUGAAUAUUUUUGGAUCAUUGCCAAUUGUUCUAAUUCAAUGAUGAGUUUUUUUUUUUUCAAGUGAGAGAGUAUGAUGCGGAGCUUUUUUUUUUUUGUGGGGGGGAUGGAGAAAAAGUUGUAGAUUUAGUUUUUGAUUUUCCUAUUCUGAUUUAGGUCUUAAGUUUUUUAUUAUAUUCAGGACUUAGGUAUUUUCUUAUUCUAUUUAGGAUCUUAAUGUAUUUUCCUAUUCUAGGUAGGAUUUGUUUCUUCUUAUUUUAAUUAGUACUUAGAUUAUUCCUAUUUUAUUAGGAUUCGUAUUGUUGAUGUAACGAAACUUCCUACUGUAGUUGGGAUUUAUAUUUUCCUAAUUAGUUUAGGAAUCUAAACUUUAUAUAAACCCAUAGAAUUCAUGUAAUCGAAGAUUAGUUUUCAGUCAAUGUAAUUUACACAAGGCUUAUUUUUGUCUCAACACUUUCUUUAUGUAUGAGUGUGUGUUUUACUACAGCUUCGCGCUGCGUCAAAUGCAAUCCAUAACACAGGACCAUAUAAGGUUUAAGAAAUUUAAAUAGCCUAUAUAGGAUUCAAAAAUACAUCCUUUGAGCAAUAAUGUGAUGUGGCAUUCUCUCAUUUAAGCAACUCAGUUACUACUAUAUUCUUUUACCCUUAGCUAUUACUAUUAUGCAUUAUAAAUCAUUUUCAUAUAAAUUACUGUACAUUUUAUUUCAAAGAUGUAUGUCUCACUUCACUCACUAAGACACAUGCCAUCACCUUGUGCCUGAUUGCCUAGGCCCCAAGAACCCUUGGUGCUUAAGCGUACCCAAUGCUUUUUAACAACAAUGGAUCUGCCAAUGCCACUACAGAAACUAAUACUAGCCUUGCCUCAUUACAAACACUUUGCUUUGUUUGGACCAUAACAUCUAGCAGACACCACCAAAAAAGAGAAUAAAGAAAUGGAGGGCUAUUAACUCUAACAAUAAAAACAUUAUAUUUCAAUAUGAUACAAUAAAAUAACAUCUCUUAUUCCUAUUUGAAACUAAAAUUUAUGGAGAUUUCCUUCUGUCCAGAAAGGGGAAAGGAAAGCUUUCAAGAUGAAUUAAGCUGUGCAUCUCACAUAUCAAGAUUAGUGACUCCACCAGUUCAGUUGAAUAACAAAUGUCUUUAUGAAUAAAGGAGAGGGUUUUUUUUCAUUGCACAUAUCCCUUCAAGUGAAAAGAAGGCCAACAUUUUGUGAUUGCAAAAUAAAUGAACAAUCAUAAACUUGAAACUUUAAAGCAACAUGACUGACCCCCUUGCAAUGAAC